rnacentral:rRNA from 1 species
GCAGGCCUAACACAUGCAAGUCGAACGAACCUUUUAGGUGAGUGGCGCACGGGUGCGUAACGCGUGGGAAUAUGCCCUUGAGUGAGGAAUAACGUAGAGAAAUUUGCGCUAAUACCUCAUAAUGACUCCGGUCCAAAGAUUUAUCGCUCAAGGAUUAGCCCGCGUCAGAUUAGAUAGUUGGUGAGGUAACGGCUCACCAAGUCGACGAUCUGUAGGGGGUCUGAGAGGAUGAUCCCCCACACUGGUACUGAGACACGGACCAGACUCCUACGGGAGGCAGCAGUGAGGAAUAUUGGACAAUGGGGGCAACCCUGAUCCAGCCAUGCCGCGUGAGUGAAGACGGCCUUAGGGUUGUAAAGCUCUUUCAAUUGCGAAGAUAAUGACGGUAACAAUAGAAGAAGCUCCGGCUAAAUUCGUGCCAGCAGCCGCGGUAAUACGAAUGGAGCAAGCGUUGUUCGGAAUCACUGGGCUUAAAGCGUAUGUAGGCGGACUGGAAAGUCAGGAGUGAAAUCCCGAGGCUCAACCUCGGAACUGCUCUUGAGACGCUCAGUCUAGAAUCCUGGAGAGGUUAGGAGAAUUCCGAGUGUAGAGGUGAAAUUCGCAGAUAUUCGGAGGAAUACCAGUGGCGUAGGCGCCUAACUGGACAGGUAUUGACGCUCAGAUACGAAAGCGCGGGGAGCAAACAGGAUUAGAUACCCUGGUAGUCCACGCCGUAAACGAUGUUUGCUAGUUGUCAGGCCCUUAGGGUUUGGUGACGGAGAGAAAUCAUUAAGCAAACCGCCUGGGGAGUACGGCCGCAAGGUUAAAACUCAAAGGAAUUGACGGGGACCCGCACAAGCGGUGGAGCAUGUUGUUUAAUUCGAAGCAACGCGAAGACCUUACCCACUCUUGACAUCCUCCUUGGGACUUUUAGAGAUAAUUGUCUUCGGUUCGGCCGGGGGAGUGACAGGUGCUGCAUGGCUGUCGU